GGCGCAGCUUGGGCUUCCGCGUCCCCCUCGUGCGCCGGGAGGCGUUCGCAGGAGAGGGGCCUAAAAGUGAAGCAACCAGGAAAUAACCUGCCCCAAUCUGCCGUCCCCUGGUGUCGCAUCUCGGAGAUGUGAACGGGAGAUUUAUUGGCCAGUUACGGAAGUGAAGCCGUAGAGAA